CAGCCGCCGCGGUAAUACGAAGGGGGCUAGCGUUGUUCGGAAUUACUGGGCGUAAAGCGCACGUAGGCGGAUAUUUAAGUCAGGGGUGAGAUCCCAGAGCUCAACUCUGGAACUGCCUUUGAUACUGGGUAUCUUGAGUAUGGAAGAGGUGAGUGGAAUUCCGAGUGUAGAGGUGAAAUUCGUAGAUAUUCGGAGGAACACCAGUGGCGAAGGCGGCUCACUGGUCCAUUACUGACGCUGAGGUGCGAAAGCGUGGGGAGCAAACAGGAUUAGAUACCCGCGUAGUCCCUGUCUCUUAUAC
rnacentral:rRNA from 1 species